rnacentral:rRNA from 1 species
CCUACGGGUGGCAGCAGUGGGGAAUAUUGGACAAUGGGGGCAACCCUGAUCCAGCCAUGCCGCGUGUGUGAAGAAGACCCUCGGGUUGUAAAGCACUUUCAGUGAGGAAGAACGCCUGGUGGUUAAUACCCAUCAGGAAAGACAUCACUCACAGAAGAAGCACCGGCUAACUCCGUGCCAGCAGCCGCGGUAAUACGGAGGGUGCGAGCGUUAAUCGGAAUUACUGGGCGUAAAGCGCGCGUAGGUGGCUUGAUAAGCCGGUUGUGAAAGCCCCGGGCUCAACCUGGGAACGGCAUCCGGAACUGUCAAGCUAGAGUGCAGGAGAGGAAGGUAGAAUUCCCGGUGUAGCGGUGAAAUGCGUAGAGAUUGGGAGGAAUACCAGUGGCGAAGGCGGCCUUCUGGACUGACACUGACACUGAGGUGCGAAAGCGUGGGUAGCAAACAGGAUUAGAUACCCUGGUAGUC